UAGACAAAACCUCUCAUCUAUCCCCAAUGACUAGGCGUGAAAUGUAAAAAUCAUUGUGUGUGAGAGUGAGAAACGUCUCUCUCAUGGAGGAACCUCCCACCGCUCUCCCCCCACUCGCCGACCCACCCACCCCUAUCCACCUACUCAGUGAGAAAACUCCCUGUGAAGUGAAAGUUUGUAGAUUUUGGAAGAAGUUGAGUUUGGUGAAGUGAAAGAUUGAAAUUUCAGAAAUUUAGGUGUUGUUGUUGGAAGUUUCUUCAUCAUUGCUUGAAAUCAAGUGUUGUUUCAUCAUUGUUGGAAACAUUUCGCUGCUGCUUUGAGGCUACUUCGUCGUUGUUGAAAACCUGUCGCUACUGCUUGGGCGUUUCUAUAUCGUUGUUGGUUUAUCGAAAGGAAUAACAAACAACGCAAGAUAGGUUGAGAUAAAGAGUUCUAUGUUUAUUUUCAGUUCACCAUUUGAACCUUAGUUUCCUGGACUUCGGUGUACCGUUGAUCCAGUGAGCAGCUCAGAGUAAGUUGGUGAGACUCCUUACAUUUCGAAUGACAUCUUUUACCACUUACUUUUUGUUGUGAUUGGGGAUCCUGUCCAAGCAUCCCACUUGUUUUAGUGGCUUCAU